rnacentral:rRNA from 1 species
UGACCUCGGAUCAGGUAGGACUACCCGCUGAACUUAAGCAUAUCAUNA